GAGAGCUUGCUCUCAUGAAAGUGGCGCACGGGUGAGUAACACGUGGAUAAUCUGCCUGGCGAUUCGGGAUAACACUUCGAAAGGGGUGCUAAUACCGGAUAAGCCCACGGUCUCUUCGGAGAGUGCGGGAAAAGGGGGCCUCUGUAUAUGCUCCUGUCGCUAGAUGAGUCCGCGGCCCAUUAGCUAGUUGGUAGGGUAAUGGCCUACCAAGGCUACGAUGGGUAGCUGGUCUGAGAGGAUGAUCAGCCACACUGGAACUGAGACACGGUCCAGACUCCUACGGGAGGCAGCAGUGGGGAAUUUUGCGCAWUGGGCGAAAGCCUGACGCAKCAACGCCGCGUGAGUGAUGAAGGCCUUCGGGUCGUWAAGCUCUGUCAGAGGGGAAGAACCGCCGGGUGGCUAAUACCUGCCUGGUCUGACGGUACCCUCAAAGGAAGCACCGGYUAACUCCGKGCCAGCAGCYGCGGUAAUAC
rnacentral:rRNA from 2 species